UUCAAGCUUAGAUUAGGAUGAUUAUGCUGGAGAAAUAAAAACGAUUUAUUUUAAUUCCAACAAACGAUUUGCAAAAUCCUUUUUGUAAAUGUUAGUCAUUUAAAUUCUUAUGCAUUUCAUAUUUAUUUAAAUUGAACAUUAAACAUUUAGCAUCUACACGAGCUAUUUAUUUAAGCAAACACUGAACGAUUAUUACAGUUUUCAUAGUACAACCCGAAAGACUUUUUAUUUUAUUUUAUUUUAUUUUAUUCCAACCUACUUCUCUCCCUCACCUAACACACAUCCACCUACUCCCUCUCUCACCCACCUACCCUCAAAGCUCAUCCGUCAUAGUUAUACUUAGCAAAUUUGUUAUUCAUCACUUCACACCAAUCACCCAAUACACUUUCAUUUUUUUUUAAAGAGAGAGUUGAAGCUUCAUAACUUCAUCAGCCAACCAGUCAAACAUGAGCACAUAGAGUUCAAGUUCAGAGCACCACAAUCACCGAUUCAAGGUUGAGCAGCUGAUGGAAUGGAAUGAUGUUGAGCGGGUGUUCCUUUGAUCAUUUCAAGAAAUGUAACCUUGAGUAUACAUCUUCAUAUGUAUAUCUCACACGUUUUCCGCUGCAAAACACUUUGAUUAGGAUAGCUCUAUGUUAUGACGUUGUGAUACGUGUUAUUGGGUAACCCACCUUAAUCAGUUCUCAUUUAUGUGUA